rnacentral:rRNA from 1 species
AACGAACGCUGGCGGCAUGCCUAACACAUGCAAGUCGAACGAGACCUUCGGGUCUAGUGGCGCACGGGUGCGUAACGCGUGGGAACCUGCCCUUAGGUUCGGAAUAACUCCCCGAAAGGGGUGCUAAUACCGGAUAAUGUCAUCGGACCAAAGAUUUAUCGCCUUUGGAUGGGCCCGCGUUGGAUUAGCUAGUUGGUAGGGUAAAAGCCUACCAAGGCGACGAUGCAUAGCUGGUCUGAGAGGAUGAUCAGCCACACUGGGACUGAGACACGGCCCAGACUCCGACGGGAGGCAGCAGUGGGGAAUAUUGGACAAUGGGCGAAAGCGUGAUCCAGCAAUGCCGCGUGAGUGAUGAAGGCCUUAGGGUUGUAAAGCUCUUUUACCCGGGAUGAUAAUGACAGUACCGGGAGAAUAAGCUCCGGCUAACUCCGUG